CUUUCCGGGCUCUCUCUGGAGCUGUUGUUAGUGUUGGGAAUGGGCCUAGUCGCUCAUGUCUGAGCCGGAGGCAAUGGCGCAGGCGGAGGUGGGCAUCCCCAGCCCUCACUGUGGCGCGGUCUUAAGAGAAUCGGGCUCGAUGCCGACCGUUGAAAGCUCGCCGGUAAGAGACGCACGGCCAGGCAUGAGUCGCGGCAGUGAGGGUCGCUGUCUGCCAAUUGAAAGAGGACGGCUUUCUGUGAAAUUCCUACAUUGGAACAAUUUCUGACCAGUACCGUGAAGUUUGCUGGUCUCUUACGUGAAAAGCUGGUGAUAACUAAGACAUCCAGAAAAGGCUCUUCAUUUUGCCAACAUGAAAGGAAAAUACACAACUUUUGAUUGUAUUGAUUUUUCUUUUGUAAAUAAAUCAUGUAAUGUA